rnacentral:rRNA from 1 species
AUACGGGGGGAGCAAGCGUUGUUCGGAUUUACUGGGCGUAAAGGGCGCGUAGGCGGCCACCGCAAGUCAGUUGUGAAAUCUCUGGGCUUAACCCAGAAAGGUCAACUGAUACUGCGGGGCUAGAGUGCAGAAGGGGCAACUGGAAUUCUCGGUGUAGCGGUGAAAUGCGUAGAUAUCGAGAGGAACACCUGCGGCGAAGGCGGGUUGCUGGGCUGACACUGACGCUGAGGCGCGAAAGCUAGGGGAGCGAACGGGAUUAGAAACCCCGGUAGUCC